rnacentral:rRNA from 1 species
UACGUAGGGGACGAGCGUUGUCCGGAAUUACUGGGCGUAAAGGGCGCGCAGGCUGCGUUACAAGUCAGCUGUUAAAUGCAUGGGCUUACCCCAUGAGUGCGGUUGAAACUGUAGUGCUAGAGUACUGUAGAGGCAAGCGGAAUUCCCAGUGUAGCGGUGAAAUGCGUAGAUAUUGGGAGGAACACCGGUGGCGUAGGCGGCUUGCUGGACAGUAACUGACGCUGAGGCGCGAAAGCCAGGGGAGCAAACGGGAUUAGAUACCCGUGUA